rnacentral:rRNA from 1 species
AGUGAACGCUGGCGGUAGGCCUAAUACAUGCAAGUCGAACGGCAGCACAGUAAGCUUGUGCCCUUACGGGUGGCGACUGGCGGGCGGGUGAGGAGUACAUCGGCAUCUACUUUUUCGUGGGGGAUAUCGGAGAGCAACUGACGCUAAUACCGCAUACGUUCUACGGGUGAAAUCAGUGGAUCUUGGGACCUUUGCCGACUCUAUUAGCCGAUGCCGGAUUAGCUAGUUGGCGGGGUAACGGCCCACCAAGGCGACGAUCCGUAGCUGACCUGAGAGGAUGAUCAGCCACACUGGAACUGAGACACGGUCCAGACUCCUACGGGAGGCAGCAGUAGGGAAUCUUCGGCAAUGGGCGCAAGCCUGAUGCAGCCAUGCCGCGUGGGUGAAGAAGGUCUUCGGGUUGUAAAACCCUUUUAUUGGGGAAGAAAAGAAGUGGAAUUAACUAUCGAUGUCCUGACGGUACCCAAACAGUAAGCCACGGCUAACUUCGUG